rnacentral:rRNA from 1 species
UACGUAGGGGGCUAGCGUUGUCCGGAAUCAUUGGGCGUAAAGCGCGUGUAGGCGGCCCGGUAAGUCCGCUGUGAAAGUCCAGGGCUCAACCCUGGGAUGCCGGUGGAUACUGUCGGGCUCGAGGCCGGAAGAGGCGAGUGGAAUUCCUGGUGUAGCGGUGAAAUGCGCAGAUAUCAGGAGGAACACCAAUGGCGAAGGCAGCUCGCUGGGACGUGACCGACGCUGAGACGCGAAAGCGUGGGGAGCAAACAGG